CUGUUCGCUACUGGGGGUCAAA
rnacentral:miRNA from 9 species